GUCGAGAAUUUUUCACAAUGGGCGAAAGCCUGAUGGAGCGACGCCGCGUGGGGGAUGAAUGGCUUCGGCCCGUAAACCCCUGUCAUUUGCGAACAAACCUCGUUAUUUAAAAGAUGACGAGUUGAUAGUAGCGAAAGAGGAAGGGACGGCUAACUCUGUGCCAGCAGCCGCGGUAAUACAGAGGUCCCAAGCGUUGUUCGGAUUCACUGGGCGUAAAGGGUGCGUAGGUGGUCGGGUGAGUCUGAUGUGAAAUCUCCGAGCUUAACUCGGAAAUGGCAUCGGAUACUGCUCGGCUUGAGGGUUGGAGGGGGGACUGGAAUUCUCGGUGUAGCAGUGAAAUGCGUAGAUAUCGAGAGGAACACCAGUGGCGAAGGCGAGUCCCUGGACAACUCCUGACACUGAGGCACGAAAGCCAGGGGAGCAAACGGGAUUAGAUACCCCAGUAGUCC
rnacentral:rRNA from 1 species